CCCCACGCAGGCGCCACUUCCCCGUAGUGUGGGGUGGGCAACUGUCCAAAAGGGCAGGCUAAGAGCGCCA
rnacentral:ribozyme from 1 species